rnacentral:rRNA from 1 species
UACGAGUGGUGCAAGCGUUAUUCGGAAUCAUUGGGCGUAAAGGGUGUGUAGACGGCAUUUUAAGUCAACUGUUUAAUUCUCCAGCCUAACUGGAGGUCAGCGGUAGAAACUGAUGUGCUAGAGGGUGGAAGAGAGAAGUGGAAUUCUCGGAGUAGCGGUAAAAUGCGUAGAUCUCGAGAGGAACACCAAUGGCGAAGGCAGCUUCUUGGUCCACUCCUGACGUUGAAACACGAAAGCGUGGGGAGCAAACAGG